CGAGUUUCCACACUGAUUAUUCUAGAUUUGUCAGCAACCUUUGUUAACAUGAACCAUUAAGUUUUGUUGAUUCAUUUGCAGAUACUGGCAAGGAUGGCCAAAUAUCAGUGUAGUGACUCUGGUCUCUCCUCCAUAGGAGGUCUCAGAGGGUGAUGUUGGACAAUUGCUCAUCUGCCCAGAGGAUUCUCAUGAAUUACUGCAGUAUAAGUGGCUGAAGGGAAGGGGCAGAUCCCGGAGCCACCAAUCCCCUCCAUGUUUCUGAUGGCCAUGCUCUGCCUACACCACAGCUGCCAUAACUGCUGUGAUCACAAGGGCAAGGCCUGCCUUUCACGGUGAUGUUUCAGCAGCAUGAAAACCACUUACCAUCCCUGAAAAAAAGAUUGCAAACUGUGAGCUGAGAAGAAAGAAUAAUGAACUAAUUCCCUUUGCCUUCUUGGAUUCUUGACCUUGCAAAGUAUUAUUCUCCCACUUUUUUUAAGUGUAUUUCUCUGUUCUCAUUCUACUGAUGAAUAAAAUUAAGACUGCCCCAAAUAUGCUGGCAUCUCAGAAUUUAGUACCACUUUUAGG
ensembl:lncRNA